AACGCCGCAGGCAGGGCCGGGCGGCCCCGGGUCGGGUCGGGUCGGGUCGGGUCCCGGCGUCCGCGGGGCUCGAACCCGCCGCCGCCGCGGGCUCCGCGAGGGGGGACGCUGGUCCUGCGUUCGGAGUCGCGAUCCGAGCCCGGCCCGGCCCCGUGCGAGCGAUCCACCUGGCUUAGGGGGCGUGAAAAUUUAAGGAAAAAAAAAAGAGAAAGAAAGAAAGAAAGAAAGAAAGAAAAAGAUGCAAGGAAAGAAAGAGGCAGCCGCGACCCCGCCGGGUGCGGAGCGGACCCCGCGCGAUCCCGGGCGGCGCUCGGCUGCCCCCCGCCCCGCGUGCACGCCCGGCCCGGUGGCUCGGCCGCGGCACUGAGCGCUCGGGCGCCGGGGGCUGGGGCUGGGGCCGGGCCGCGCCUGCAGCCCGCGCGCACCGGGUCGGCCGGGCGGCUCCGCGGACGCGGCGUCCCCUGGGGCAGCGCGGGGCAGGGCAGGGCAGGGCAGGGCACGGCAGGGGCUCCGCGGCUCCCCGCGCCCCGCGUCCCGCCCGCCCGGGCCCCGGGCCCCGCAGCCCCGCAGCCCCGCAGGCCGCGCAGGCCGGACGCACAGGCCUCGCGGGAACGCGCCUCCGUCCGCCCCGCCCCGCCCCCGCCCUCCGGCCCGCCCCGCCCUCGCGCGCGCCCCUCCCCGCGCCCGCCUCGCCUCGCCUCCCCGACCAUCUCCUCGCGCUCCCGGCCCGGCACGCGCGCUGCGCCCGCCGCCCCGCCGUCCCCGUCCCCGUCCCCGUCCCCGUCCCCGUCCCGCCGCCGCCGCCGCCGCCGCCGCGCGGCCGAGCGUUCCUCCGCCGCGCCUGGCUUCCAGCUUCGGGCCGGAACCGGAAGUGUGGGGGGCGGGGCCGGCGGAGGCCAGGGGACCGAAAACGCGGCCGAGCCCGGAGCCCGGAGCCGGAGCCAGAGCCUGGACCAGAACUUGGCCGCCGCUUGCGCCGCCGCCUGCGCCGCCGUCCCCGCCGCCGUCCCCGCCGCCGCCGCGCCGUCCCCGCCGCCCGGGCCGCCACGGCCGCCAGCCCGGCCGCCAGCGGUCCGCGGACUUUGGGUGUCCGGGUUGAAGGUCGGUCCGGACGUCGGACCCGGCUCGGCUCCCGGACUGUCCGGGCGGCUCGGGCUCCCCGCCGCCCCGCCGCCGCCUCGGCGCCUCCGCCUGGCGUUUUGUUCCGAGAGCCCCGACAGGCGAGCGGCGCUGACAGCGAUUUUGACAGUGAUUUAA
rnacentral:lncRNA from 1 species